GGCAAUGUCCCCUCAGCUGGUGGUUGGCCGGCACCAGCACGGACGGCCGCGUUCCCUGGCUGGAACCUGGAUCGCCGGCGUCCGACGCUUCGGCCCGCU
rnacentral:lncRNA from 1 species